rnacentral:tRNA from 1 species
GCAUCGGUGGUUCAGUGGUAGAAUGCUCGCCUGCCACGCGCGCGGCCCGGGUUCGAUUCUCGGCCGAUGUA